UGAACAUUUAAUGUUUAUAUUCUAAAAACGUUAAGAUGUGCAGUUCCCUUGUUGUGAUUAGAACAUUAUUUAAUGUACAAUAACGCUUCUCUGAAUGUUUAUCAAGUAUAAAUAACAUCAUAAGGACAUUCUGAGAAUGUCGAUGUCAGAAUGUUUUUUCUCAAUCAUGUAAAGUAACAUCAUGAGAACAUUCCAAAAACAUUUUCUCUCAAUGUUAUGAGAAUUGAUUAAUUAAAUCAUAAGAAAGUUCCAUAAACAUUACUUUAAGAACAUUUUGUCUUAUUAUUUAUAAAAACGUUAGCUGUAUUCCCAAAAGUGUGAAGGUCCUGUAAAGGUCAGCUUCAUCCGGCAUAUACUGCAGUUUAUUGAUGUUCCUGUAGAAGUGCUGCUUUGCUCCUUAAUCAUUCAGAAAGUGCUGUUUAUAUCUGAAGUGUCACACUGUGCUAAGCUCUGCGAGUGUGGAAGCUGUUUGCAGGCCGCAGCGGGACACAGAUGAAAGCAUCAGCACUGCUGGCGUCUGGGUCAGCAGUCCUGUCACAGCGGGUCACAGUGACUGGACGUCCCGGCCUGAUUUCAGACCAGAAGCUGCAGGCCUGCAUUCAGGCUCUUCUCUGGUGAAAAAUCGUUUGAGGGAAAAUGCCACCAAACACAUCAGAUAUCAGCUACUGGUCUCAACACCGCAGAGGAAAUGAAGGCCGUAAUGAGCGAUCUGUUUAACAGUCUGUCAUCAGAUCUGGAAUCAGCGGCCGUGAACCCGUCACCUUCACGUCUACAGCAAACGCUCCUGAGCGUCACAUCAGAAAGACUCGCUCACAGCAGCGUCCCUGUGCCAGGUGAACAGAAUGGGUUUGUGUCGGUCUGCCAGCCUCCUCACCGUUGCACAGAAAGCAACAGAAUGCUGCAGAGUCUGCUGUGAUGAUUAGCACUGCGUCUCACACCGGCUUCAGAUCGCCGCAGACGUGACAGCAUGGCUGAAAGUCACGGCAUCAAAGGAAGUGAUAUUAAUGCUGAAGGUCAGAACAUCGAUUCAGGCUGUUCUGCAAAAUUCCCAGUGAAGGACAGAGGCGCGGGUGUGUGUCAGGUGAACGGGAUCGGGUUCUGAAUGAAAGACUCGGAAGACGCACUACAGGGAGAGGGUGCUUGCUUUCUAG
ensembl:lncRNA